UACGUAGGGGGCAAGCGUUGUCCGGAUUUACUGGGCGUAAAGAGCGUGUAGGCGGCCACGCAGGUCCGUUGUGAAAACUGGAGGCUCAACCUCCAGCUGUCGACGGAAACCGUGUGGCUAGAGUCCGGAAGAGGAGAGUGGAAUUCCUGGGUGUAGCGGUGAAAUGCGCAGAUAUCAGGAAGAACACCAAUGGCGAAGGCAGCUCUCUGGGACGGUACUGACGCUGAGACGCGAAAGCGUGGGGAGCGAACAGG
rnacentral:rRNA from 1 species